rnacentral:tRNA from 3 species
AGGUCAGUAGCUCUAACGGUAGAGCGUCGGUCUCCAAAACCGAAUGCUGGGGGUUCGAAUCCCUCCUGACCUGCCA